UACGAAGGGGGCUAGCGUUGUUCGGAUUUACUGGGCGUAAAGCGCACGUAGGCGGAUCGUUAAGUCGGGGGUGAAAUCCUGGAGCUCAACUCCAGAACUGCCUUCGAUACUGGCGAUCUAGAGUCCGGAAGAGGUGAGUGGAACUCCUAGUGUAGAGGUGGAAUUCGUAGAUAUUAGGAAGAACACCAGUGGCGAAGGCGGCUC
rnacentral:rRNA from 1 species